UCGCCAUAUGUGCUUCUAUUGUCUAGGCAAGAAUCAAUAUGGUAGCAAACUUGAUUUGGAAGUUAUAGUUGAUGUUUUUGAGAUACUGAACUUCCAUAAUGGGCAUCUGAAAUUCGAUGAUCUUAUUAAACUAUAGAAGUAGUGUGUAUUUGAAGUUGAUUUUUGAUCUAAGCCAAAGAUCAUGAUUUUAAAAUUGAAGGGAUUGAACUUAUUGAACUUGGAGCAUUUUGGGGGUUGAUUCAAAUGAGCAAUAACAAGAAUGCAAGAAAUAAACAUGCUUGCUUUUAGAAGAAGAAUUUCUCUCUCAAAAUAGUCUUUGGUUUAAUUAAGUCACGGUCAAAGAUUUAUUCAUUGAAAUUUUCAUUAUUCGACAUAGCGAUUAUCCAGAUGCUCCGGUUAUAGUUCGAGGGAAUGCUGCUGCUACGAUUUAUAUCUGAUUUUCUUGAUCAAAAAUUUUUGUUGGGAACCAAUCACUCCAUUUUAAUAUUGUUUAUAGGAAAAUGACUCUCAACAUUCUCAUAUAAAUUUGCCGAUUUUUGAAUGAUUGUAAUUUUGGGAGAUUACAGAAUUUGAUCAUUAACUACAUAAACAACCUAUUCCAGAUCAUUAUUAUAACCUGUUGAAUUACAUAUUCACUAAAUCUUCUCCCUGUAUAUUUUCCUCUCAUGAUUUUAAAAAAGGAAGUUUAAACCAUAAAUUCAUAAAAAGCAUAUAAAAUCUGUAUUGUGUGUUAUUACUCAUACCAAUAUUAAAUAACCUGAUCCAAUGUUAUGAUCUUAAAAAAUUAUAAAUAUCACAUUUUUUCCAAAAAAACAGACAUUAGGAUUCAUUGUCGUUCAAGUCAAGAUAAAAUAUUUUGAAACUCAUAUGAAUCGUGGACCCGCAGAUUUUAGCCUUGAAUAUUCGUUGGCUUAUGAAUGAGGACUGUGAACAGUAAGUUUUUCCGAUUUCAGUUGACUCUGAGACACUUGAAACAAAGAUUUAUUUAAAGAGCUAAAGAAAGAGAGAGAGCUUUUAAAUAAAUACACGAAGUUCACCACUUUUUAGGAACAGACGAUUACUGAUUAAUAUGGUAUUUCAGUCUUAAUUCACAAUACAAUUCCUUAGGAUGAAAUUCUGUAAGGUUGUGGAGGAUGUUCACUACCCUUCGUCGAAACAUAUCUUUUGGCAGGAUUAUUACUUUAACGUUCUCUCGAAGGCGUCAACGGACCGAUAUCGCAAAACAUCCUUUUCUUUGCUGCAUCUCUGCGGAUUCACCUUUUUUCACUUCUCGUUCUUCCAAAUCCAGGAAUCGACCUCGUAUUUUACUUUCAAUCUCCUCGUCCCAGGCCACCUGUGUAUUUUUGAUCUCAUUUUUCAUAGGAAAGAGAGAUUUAUUUUCUUGAUUCUCAUUUAAACAAUUAUGUGGACGAUGGACUUAGUUACGAUAUGAUAUAUAUUUACACUUCAAUUGUUUCUCUUAAUACCUUUUUUUUAUUAUCGUUGAUCUUGAUUACAUAAACUAUUUUUCCCCCGUGUCGCUAUCAGCUUCAAAAAUCUCUGCUCUACACGAUAAACUAGUUAUAUAUUAUAUGAAUAUAUGUUAAAUCCGAUAGCUAAAUCACGAGAGAGAAGCAAACCUAUUGCGAAUGAAAUUUGACAAAUAUUAAUGACCUAAUAAUAAAAAUUCUCAUAUUUUAGAGCAAUAUUUCGCGUGAGUAAUAUCUGAACUAAAUGAAAUUUAUACGCUGACCGUAAUUGGAUUAUACUUGAAUCUAAAUUCACUGACACGAAUUUAGUUAUUUUUGCACUUAUCAUUUCAGCGCGUGAAUCUAGAAAAGAAAUCGGUGUUUCAUUCUCCGCGAGAAUUCUUGCUUUUGUUACAGGUAUUCCCAAAAAAUAUUUUUUAUUUAGAUUUUUAAAAGUCUCGCGACUCGAAAAAGCUUGAGAACCACGAUUAUUUAUAUCAGUGAUCUAGUUAUUGAUAAAGAUUAUAGUCAGUUAUAUGUACUAAUUUUGUCAACAGACGACGCCACUUUGCACUCAGUAAGAGUGCUGAGGGGCGAGGCG
rnacentral:lncRNA from 1 species